rnacentral:rRNA from 1 species
UACGUAGGGUGCGAGCGUUGUCCGGAAUUAUUGGGCGUAAAGAGCUCGUAGGCGGUCUGUCGCGUCGAUCGUGAAAACUUGGGGCUUAACCCUGAGCUUGCGGUCGAUACGGGCAUGACUGGAGUUCGGCAGGGGAGACUGGAAUUCCUGGUGUAGCGGUGAAAUGCGCAGAUAUCAGGAGGAACACCUGCGGCGAAGGCGGGUUGCUGGGCUGAUACUGACGCUGAGGAGCGAAAGCGUGGGGAGCGAACAGG